rnacentral:rRNA from 1 species
GACGUAGGGCGCGAGCGUUGUCCGGAUUUAUUGGGCGUAAAGAGCUCGUAGGCGGCUCGUUGCGUCAACCGUGAAAACCCGGGGCUUAACUUCGGGCUUGCGGUUGAUACGGGCGGGCUGGAGUUCGGUAGGGGAGACUGGAAUUCCUGGUGUAGCGGUGAAAUGCGUAGAUAUCAGGAGGAACACCUGUGGCGAAAGCGGCUCACUGGACCAUAACUGACGCUGAUGCACGAAAGCUAGGGGAGCAAACAGG